GACGAACGCUGGCGGCGUGCUUAACACAUGCAAGUCGAACGCUGAAGCUCAGCUUUUGUUGGGUGGAUGAGUGGCGAACGGGUGAGUAACACGUGAGUAACCUGCCUCCUUCUUUGGGAUAACGCCCGGAAACGGGUGCUAAUACUGGAUAUUCACUGGUCUUCGCAUGGGGGUUGGUGGAAAGGGUUUUUCUGGUGGGGGAUGGGCUCGCGGCCUAUCAGCUUGUUGGUGGGGUGAUGGCCUACCAAGGCUUUGACGGGUAGCCGGCCUGAGAGGGUGACCGGUCACAUUGGGACUGAGAUACGGCCCAGACUCCUACGGGAGGCAGCAGUGGGGAAUAUUGCACAAUGGGCGAAAGCCUGAUGCAGCGACGCCGCGUGAGGGAUGGAGGUCUUCGGGUUGUGAACCUCUUUCGCUAAUGGUCAAGCCGCAACAAUGGUUGUGGUGAGGGUAGUGGGUAAAGAAGCGCCGGCUAACUACGUG
rnacentral:rRNA from 1 species